UACGGCUCAGUAACACGUGGAUAACCUGCCCAAGGGUCCGGGAUAACCCCGGGAAACUGGGGAUAAUACCGGAUGGAUCACUAGUGCUGGAAUGCUUGGUGGUCGAAAGGUAACGCCUUUGGAUGGGUCUGCGGCGGAUUAGGUUGACGCCGGUGUAACGUACCGGCGUGCCUGUAAUCCGUACGGGUUGUGGGAGCAAGAGCCCGGAGAUGGAUUCUGAGACACGAAUCCAGGCCCUACGGGGCGCAGCAGGCGCGAAAACUCUACAAUGCAGGCAACUGCGAUAGGGGGACAUCGAGUGGCAUCCACCUUGGGUGCCUGUCCAACCGUCUAAAAAACGGUUGUUAGCAAGGGCCGGGUAAGACCGGUGCCAGCCGCCGCGGUAAUACCGGCGGCUCGAGUGGUGGCCGAUAUUAUUGAGUCUAAAGGGUCCGUAGCCGGCUUUGCAAGUCCCCUGGGAAAUCCAGCGGCUUAACCGUUGGGCUUUCAUGGGAUACUACAUUGCUUGGGACUGGGAGAGGUAGGAGGUACUCGGGGGGUAGGGGUGAAAUCCUGUAAUCCUCCGGGGACCACCGGUGGCGAAGGCGUCCUACCAGAACAGGUCCGACGGUGAGGGACGAAAGCUAGGGGCACGAACCGGAUUAGAUACCCGGGUAGUCCUAGCCGUAAACGAUGCCCGCUAGGUGUCACGACGGUCGUGAAUCGUCGUGGUGCCGUAGGGAAGCCGCGAAGCGGGCCACUUGGGAAGUACGGCCGCAAGGCUGAAACUUAAAGGAAUUGGCGGGGG
rnacentral:rRNA from 1 species